AGGAUUUCAGACAAGUAUCUGGAACUGCAGGUAAAAAUUAGUUCCUAAGUUCUCUAUCUCUCUAAUUUCUCUCUUGAGUCAAAGUAUGCUUCCAUUGCAGGAUCAGUGACCAAGAUUGGACAUGCUUCCAUGAAUCAAAACUUAAUGGUGGUAGCCACGAAGCUCUGUUCACUUCUUUUUGACCUAUAUCCAAAAAUUCUUUGUGAAAGAGAGCCUUGAAGAUUGCCGCCUCCAAGUCCCGUUUCGAACUCUUUUAUUGGAGUCUUUAUGAAUCAAGCCUUAAUGGUUUUAGCCACCAAGUCCUGUUCAGACUCAUCCUAAGUAAGCAAUUGAUCUUAUUUUUAUUUAUUUUUUUAUUUUUUUUGAAGAAAUGGAUAGAACUGAAAUAUAAAUCACUAACUAAUCUAGGGUCAAAAAUUAGAGAGAAAAAAUGU
rnacentral:lncRNA from 1 species